CGGUAAGAGUGCUGCUUCGCGAGUGCAGUGGGAAUGUGGAAUAUCCUGUCAGCACAGAGAGGGAUAGCAAGUAAAUCGUUUGAAGAAUCAGGAAAAAUGACUGUUUAAGAGAAGAUUCUGCACACCUGAUUUUGACAAGUCAAAGUUCUUCCGGGUAUUAUCAGUCUGAACAUGUCAAUCAUCUCACCUGCACUUUAGAGGAGCUUCAUCUACAGAUGCUGAUGGAAAACAGGAGCUUGAGGUUUCUUGCUGGUUUUCUGGUUCUUUUCCAGUCCAGCUUGUGUGUCACAAAUGCAGAUCAUGAUUCCAGACCCAACUUCGUCCUGAUGAUGGUGGAUGAUCUGGGCAUUGGAGAUAUCGGCUGCUAUGGAAAUGACACCAUCAGGACUCCAAACAUAGAUCGUCUGGCCGCGGAUGGAGUGAAACUGACCCAGCACAUCUCCGCUGCUCCUCUCUGCACUCCCAGCAGAACCGCCUUCAUGACGGGCCGCUACGCUCUACGUGCCGGUCUGGGCAGCACCGGCCGAGUGCAGGUGAUUCUUUUCCUUGCUGGAUCAGGAGGACUUCCACCUAAUGAAACCACCUUCGCUAAACUUCUGCAAAAGCAGGGUUACACCACCGGCAUUGUGGGUAAGUGGCAUUUGGGUGUGAACUGUGAGAGCAGGAAUGAUCACUGCCACCAUCCCAACAAUCACGGCUUUGAUUUCUUUUACGGGCUGCCCUUCACCUUCUUCAAUGACUGCAAGCCUGGAGAAGGUAAAGAUGUCCUGGUGGACCUGCAGGAGAAGCUGUGGCAGAUUUCUGCACUGGUGGCACUUGCGUUUCUCACGCUGCUUCUGGUCCGGGUCGUCGGGCUGCUGCAGGUCCGUCUGACACUUGUGGCAUUUCUGGCUGUUCUGUCGCUGCUGAGCUUUUCUGUGUGGUUCAUACCCUUUGAACUCCUGAGGACUUGGAACUGCAUCAUCAUGAGGAACAGAGAGGUGGUGGAGCAGCCCAUGAACCCGGAGACGCUGAACGCACGGCUCAUGCAUGAAGCGGAGCAGUUUGUGGAGAGACACAGAGACGGGCCCUUCCUGCUGUUCCUGUCACUGGCACACGUGCACACGCCUCUCUUUGUGUCUGAGGGCUUCGCCGGAAAGAGCAAACAUGGGCUGUAUGGGGACAACGUUGAAGAAGCGGACUGGAUGAUUGGUAGAAUGAUGAAGACCAUCAAAAGGUUCGGCCUGUCGGAGAAAACCUUGAUGUACUUCACAUCUGACCACGGCGGCCACAUCGAAGACGCUCAGAGAGGAGGCUGGAACGGGAUAUAUCGAGGUGGUAAAGCCAUGGGCGGCUGGGAGGGAGGAAUCCGAGUGCCGGGAAUAUUCCACUGGCCCGGGCGUCUCACUGCAGGUCGACAGGUAUCAGAACCAACAAGUCUGAUGGAUGUUUUUCCCACAGUGGUGAAGCUCGCCGGGGGAGCGCUACCGGAGGACAGGAUCCUGGACGGUCGUGACCUGAUGCCACUGUUAGAGGGCAAAACCAACCGCUCGGAGCACGAGUUCAUGUUCCAUUACUGCGGCAUGUAUCUGAACGCUGUGCGCUGGCAUCCGCACGACAGUGAAUUCAUCUUCAAGGUCCAUUUCUUCACACCGAACUUUUCUCCCGCGGGAGCCGUCGGCUGUUACGACACCAAGGUGUGCAUGUGUCACGGGGACUUUGUGACGUACCACAACCCGCCGCUGGUGUUCGAUCUCAGCAGGGACCCGUCAGAGAGUCGUCCGCUCUCACCGGAGACGGAGCCGCGCUUCGCAGAGGUGCUGGAGCGUGUGGGACGGGCCGUGAAGGACCACCGCAAAACUCUGAUGCCUGUGGAGAAACAGCUGACGUGGACAAACGUCCUGUGGAAGCCGUGGCUGCAGCCCUGCUGCGGGACCUUCCCCUUCUGCUCCUGCUCAGAAACAAACACUUAAGAAACCAGAGAGUGAAGGAUGAACGAGUGCUGAUGAUAUCAGUGCUUCAGAAGAAGGGAAUCGUAUAGAAGGAGCUCCUGUGUUGAUUUAACAUGAAGAGCAUCGAUCCUGCUGUGCAGAACAUUGUCGUGUCUUCAUCAUGUCUGAAAGAUUCCUGCACUUUUGAGUUGCUCAUGUCCACAUACGGCAGAAAUAGUAAGAGUUGGAUGUUAGUUUGCUGUUACUUUGAGUAUUAUUCAUUACUUUCACCUUGUGCUCUGCUGAAGACGAACAGAAGCUUUAAGUGUUUCCAGAUGUGAUGCAGCAGGAGGAGUCUGAUGGAUCCAUCGCUCUUUCAUCUCUGGGAAGUGUGGAGGAGAACAGAAGGAGGACAGACAGACAGGACUUACACGAGAUGUGAAUUAGGAAAAUAAAAGAAGGAAAAAGACUGAAAUACGUCGACUCUUUCAGUGGCACUGACGUAAGUUAGUAACUGAAGUUAGUUCAUGCAUUCAUGACGUCUAGACUAGAUUACUGUAAUGCAUUAUUAGCUGGUUGUCCUGCUUCCUCAAUAAACAAGCUACAAUUAGUACAAAAUGCAGCUGCUAGAGUUCUUACCAGGUCAAGAAAAUAUGAUCAUAUAACACCAAUUUUAUCAUCUCUACACUGGUUACCUAUUAAGUUCCGUAUCGAUUAUAAAGUACUGCUAAUGACCUAUAAGGCUCUAAAUGGUUUAGCUCCUGUGUAUUUAUCGCCCUACAAUCCUUCACGCUCUUUAAGAUCACAAAACUCUGGACUUCUGGUUGUACCUAGGAUAGCUAAGUCCACUAAAGGAGGGAGAGCGUUUUCACAUUUGGCUCCUAAACUCUGGAAUAGCCUUCCUGAUAAUGUUCGGGGCUCAGACUCGCUCACCCAGUUUAAAUCUAGAUUAAAGACACAUCUCUUCAGCCAAGCGUUCACAUAAUGAAUCUCAUAUCAGAUCAAUUGCACAUGACUAUCUUUGCUUAAUGUUACGAACAGCAGCUAUGCUAAUUAUUCUCUAUAUGCUUUUCCGUUUUACCUCGGGACGCCCGUCCCGAGGUGACUAGAGAGUACAUCAGCUUCAGUUUGGAUCCAGCCUCUUAAGAAGACCUCAGAUGACUAACACCUGUGAAGAGACGGCGCCAACUCCUGCGAGGACUUCAGAAGAUGCAACAUCUGGAUCAACACGCACAUUCGCAAAUUUCUAUAUAUCCUAAUUAUUGUUAAUAUGUAAUUCAUUUUUACAGGAGCUCAUUGCUUCUACCUUCAAUUAAAUUGCUAACAGUGAUUGUAACUUAAUUGCCUAAAUUAUUACAUUAUUAGCUAACUGCAGUCUCCAAAUUGUAAUGUUGACAUGCAUUCUCUGUAAAGCUGCUUUGAAACGAUAUGUAUUGUGAAAAGCGCUAUACAAAUAAAUGUGAAUUGAAUUGACAUACAAA